rnacentral:rRNA from 1 species
GUGCCAAGCAGCCGCGGUAAUUCCAGCUCCAAUAGCGUAUAUUAAAGUUGUUGCGGUUAAAAAGCUCGUAGUUGGAUCUCGGCGGGCAGGGGGUGGUUCGCUCUUCAGCGCUACUGCCCCGCUUUGCCCGUGUGAUUGGCGGAGGUUUCGGGGUGCUCUUCGUUGAGUGACUCGGAGCGCCGUCAGGUUUACUUUGAAAAAAUUAGAGUGCUCAAAGCAGGCUUUUCACGCUUGAAUAUUCGUGCAUGGAAUAAUGGAAUAGGAACUCGUUUCUAUUUUGUUGGUUUUCGGAAAUCGAGUUAAUGAUUAACAGGGACAAUUGGGGGCAUUAGUAUUCAGACGACAGAGGUGAAAUUCUUGGACCGUCUGAAGACUGACUACUGCGAAAGCAUUUGCCAAGAGUGUUUUCAUUAAUCAAGAACGAAAGUUAGAGGUUCGAAGGCGAUCAGAUACCGCCCUAGUUCUAACCAUAAACGAUGCCAGCUAGCGAUCUGCCGAGUUUUUUUUGUAGGCUCCGCAGGAAGCUUUCGGGAAACCAAAGCUUUUGGGUUCCGGGGGAAGUAUGGUUGCAAAGCUGAAACUUAAAGGAAUUGACGGAAGGGCACCACCAGGAGUGGAGCCUGCGGCUUAAUUUGACUCAACACGGGAAAUCUCACCAGGCCCGGACACUGGAAGGAUUGACAGAUUGAGAGCUCUUUCUCGAUUCGGUGGGUGGUGGUGCAUGGCCGUUCUUAGUUGGUGGAGUGAUUUGUCUGGUUAAUUCCGAUAACGAACGAGACUCUGUCCUGCUAAAUAGUUGGGUCGUCCUUCGUGCGAUCCAAGUUCUUCUUAGAGGGACUGGCUGCGUCUAGCAGCACGAGAUUGAGCAAUAACAGGUCUGUGAUGCCCAA